rnacentral:rRNA from 1 species
UGAGGAACAUGACCUUCGGCGGGGGAUAGCCGGCCCAACGGCCGGGUAAUACCGCGUACGACCACUUUGGGACAUCCCUCGGUGGUGAAAGCAGCAAUGCGCCGAUGGAGUGCCUCGCGGCCUAUCAGCUAGUUGGUGAGGUAACGGCUCACCAAGGCGACGACGGGUAGCUGGUCUGAGAGGAUGGCCAGCCACAGUUGGGACUGAGACACCGGCCCAGACCUCCGUAACGGGGAGCCAG